rnacentral:other from 1 species
AAUAUCCUGGAUUGUACGUAAAGUGAUUAGUUCUUUAUAAAUCCGAACAUUUCUAAUAAGGGAAUCUGACGCUCAAAUUCGGUGUUGAAUGCCUAGCUUUUUUCACCUAGGACUCCUAAAGAAUUUGAUAAGAUACCCACCUGCUAAUUUAGCGGGUUUACAUCCUAACACUUACGGCAAUUUGGGUCAUUA